rnacentral:rRNA from 1 species
GAUGAACGCUGGCGGCGUGCCUAAUACAUGCAAGUCGAGCGAACAGAUGAGGAGCUUGCUCCUCUUACGUUACCGGCGGACGGGUGAGUAACACGUGGAUAACCUACCUCUAAGACUGGGAUAACUUCGGGAAACCGGAGCUAAUACCGGAUAAUAUAUUGAACCGCAUGGUUCAAUAGUGAAAGACGGUUUUGCUGUCACUUAUAGAUGGAUCCGCGCCGCAUUAGCUAGUUGGUAAGGUAACGGCUUACCAAGGCAACGAUGCGUAGCCGACCUGAGAGGGUGAUCGGCCACACUGGAACUGAGACACGGUCCAGACUCCUACGGGAGGCAGCAGUAGGGAAUCUUCCGCAAAGGGCGAAAGCCUGACGGAGCAACGCCGCGUGAGUGAUGAAGGUCUUCGGAUCGUAAAACUCUGUUAUUAGGGAAGAACAAAUGUGUAAGUAACUAUGCACGUCUUGACGGUACCUAAUCAGAAAGCCACGGCUAACUACGUG